rnacentral:piRNA from 1 species
UAAAUGAAAAGCUGGCUAUGG